rnacentral:rRNA from 1 species
UGGGGAAUAUUGCACAAUGGGCGAAAGCCUGAUGCAGCGACGCCGCGUGAGGGAUGACGGCCUUCGGGUUGUAAACCUCUUUCAGCAGGGACGAAGCGCAAGUGACGGUACUUGCAGAAGAAGCACCGGCUAACUACGUGCCAGCAGCCGCGGUAAUACGUAGGGUGCAAGCGUUGUCCGGACUUACUGGGGGUAAAGAGUUCGUAGGCGGUUUGUCGCGUCGUUUGUGAAAACCAGCAGCUCAACUGCUGGCUUGCAGGCGAUACGGGCAGACUUGAGUACUGCAGGAGAGACUGGAAUUCCUGGUGUAGCGGUGAAAUGCGCAGAUAUCAGGAGGAACACCGGUGGCGAAGGCGGGUCUCUGGGCAGUAACUGACGCUGAGGAACGAAAGCGUGGGUAGCGAACAGG